AAUAGAAGAACGACAAAUUAAUUUUUUAUUCCUGAUUUUCAAUUUUUUCCUCUUUACAAAAUUUAAAUCAAACUAAAAAUGUUAAAAAUCAGGAAAAAAAAUUUAAUUUAUCAUUCUCGUAUU
rfam:Gossypium hirsutum cultivar TM-1 chromosome 10, whole genome shotgun sequence